UACAGGGGGUGCAAACGUUGCUCGGAAUCAUUGGGCGUAAAGCGCACGUAGACGGUCUGUUAUGUCGGAUGUGAAAGCCCUCGGCUCAACUGAGGAAGUGCAUCCGAAACUGGCAGGCUAGAGUACUAAAGAGGGUCGCGGAAUUCCCGGUGUAGAGGUGAAAUUCGUAGAUAUCGGGAGGAACACCGGUGGCGAAGGCGGCGACCUGGGUAGAUACUGACGCUGAGGUGCGAAAGCGUGGGGAGCAAACAGGG
rnacentral:rRNA from 1 species